UACCUAUAUAUAAUCAAUAGCUACCUUCUGUUUAUGCUUAGUACAAGUACAAUUACUUAGUUAAUUAAAGCCCUUCUUCUUCUACCUUAUUUCCUAUCCUCUUAUUCCUGUUUUAGUGUCUUCUUUUAUUGUUUAAUUUAAUGGAUCAUAUUAUCCUUCAAUUUCUUGACAGAUAAUAAUUAUAAUUGAAGUGGGUACUGAUUUUUCUCUCACCAAUUUCUUGCUAUUGCUUUUGAACAAGCACUUGUUGAGUUUCUGAAGUGUUUUAGGUUGUUUGUGCAGUUUGUGACACUAAGCAGCCGGUAAGUAUUUUUCUUCCAACUUAUUUCUGGGAGAUGGACUAGACUGAAUUUGAUGCAUGAUUCCAGCUUGGGAUUGUUAAUAUUCUUGCUUUCUCAAUGAUGCUGAAUGAUUUUUUAAUCAAUCUGCAGAUAGAAAAACAACAGUUUCAUUGUGAUGAUUGCGGAAUCUGUAGGGUUGGUGGUCAAGAGAAUUAUUUCCACUGCGAGAAGUGUGGGUCAUGCUAUUCAGUUACACUGCGUGACAAUCAUGUGUGUGGAGAACUCCAU